rnacentral:rRNA from 3 species
UACGGAGGAUGCAAGCGUUAUCCGGAAUGAUUGGGCGUAAAGCGUCCGCAGGUGGCAUUUCAAGUCUGCGGUCAAAGGUCGAGGCUCAACCUCGAACAGGCCGUGGAAACUGAAAAGCUAGAGUGUGGUAGGGGCAGAGGGAAUUCCCAGUGUAGCGGUGAAAUGCGUAGAGAUUGGGAAGAACACCGGUGGCGAAAGCGCUCUGCUAGGCCAAGACUGACACUGAGGGACGAAAGCUAGGGGAGCGAAUGGG